rnacentral:misc_RNA from 1 species
UCCGGCUUAUCACCGGCAGUUUCCUCAGAGUGCUCAGCUUAACCUGUUAGCAACAGAGGACGAGGGUUGCGCUCGUUGCGGGACUUAACCCAACAUCUCACGACACGAGCUGACGACAGCCAUGCAGCACCUGUGCACCUCCCACCCGAAGUGAAGGACUGCCUUUCAGCAAUCCAUAGAGGGCAUGUCAAAUCCUGGUAAGGUUCUUCGCGUUGCCUCGAAUUAAACCACAUGUUCCACCGCUUGUGCGGGUCCCCGUCAAUUCCUUUGAGUUUUAAUCUUGCGACCGUACUCCCCAGGCGGGAUGCUUAACGCGUUAGCUUCGACACAACCAGGGUUGAGUCCGGUUACAUCAAGUAUACAUCGUUUACAGCGUGGACUAC